rnacentral:rRNA from 1 species
ACUCCGGUGGAUAGAGAUGGGCACGCGCAAGAUUAGAUAGUUGGUGAGGUAACGGCUCACCAAGUCUGCGAUCUUUAGGGGGCCUGAGAGGGUGAUCCCCCACACUGGUACUGAGACACGGACCAGACUCCUACGGGAGGCAGCAGUGAGGAAUAUUGGACAAUGGGUGAGAGCCUGAUCCAKCCAUCCCG